rnacentral:sRNA from 1 species
AGAAGAUUCAAGACUAGUAGAGAGAAUGUUAAUUAGCGCACACUGAAUUAAUGCUAUUGUUUAUUGUCUAUCAACAUGUCAAUCACCUGUUUACUCUGUGCCAACCACAUGACCCGGUGAGCAUCCCUUCAAUCUUGUGCUAUGCUGAUGCAAAUGGGAACGUUUAACACUCCUGGGGUUUCUUAGCACCCUAAUCAGUGGCUUCGGGCUAAGGCAGGGUAGGCACUUGGUACUCUUUCUGGUUUCAUACACUCCCUCUUAAAACCUUUCAAUGGUAACGCCAUGUCUCAGAAAAUGCAGUGUGCUUCUGUGCCAACCUAGCUUCAGCCAGAUCCCUGUUCUCCUGGUCAGGUUGCAACUCCAGACCUCUGUCUAAUAACAUUAGGAGCAUGGAUGGGCCAGACAAUGAAGCGUGCUGGAGGAGCUCAGUGUUACCCUGUGGAUGUCAUCAAAUUUUGUUUCUGUGGGAACACAGACAGAAGAGACGAGAAAUGCAGAAGCUAUUCCAGAGGCUUCUGCACUUAGGAGAAAGGCUCUGCUAGCAUAGAGAGCUCUGCAUCCAGUAGAAUAUGCUCAUGUAUGUAUUACACUAAAGGAGAGAAGGGUGGAAGAUAGGGCAGCUUUAAUGAAGCUAAUGGGCUUAGAAAAGGCAGUACGAGGAAGUUCCAAUGACAUUUUACAGGAAUGGAUUACACAUAAGGAUGAGGCAGGAGAAUUUGAGAGCCGGGAGCAUAAAGGCAGAGGUUGCCUGGGUGGGAAUUGGGACUCCAGGCGAGGGCAGAGACAGUGCAGAGUCCUCAGCCACAUGCGGUUCGUUCCUCUUCAAGGUAGCUGGAGCCAGCUUUGCCGCUGCCCCCAGCGAGUCAGCUGGCUGGUGGGUUGGCUGACAGGGGUGUUGCGCGCUGAAUUUCUUUCCAAGGAGGAGGAGAAGAUGGCAGCUCUUCUAUACAUCACCCUCCGCCACCUGCCAAGGAGGCGAGACACCGCUGUGGAGAAAACAGCUUUUACUCAUUCCUUUGUAUCGGGGCCUGAAUACAAGCCAGGAGCGGUGGGGUUUGGUUAAUAAGCUAGCUGGAAAUCAUGCUAAUGGGAGUGCUAUUGCUGGGAGCCCUCCAGGCUGGGGAGGGUGUGAUUGAAUGUUGAGGUUCUCGAGGAGCACCCCCACCCCCACCCCUGUCCAUUCUCACAGCCAUCCUAGCACAAUCACAUCGGCCUGGCUGGAUUCGAGCAGCAACAGUGACAGGGAGGGACAAGCAGAGGCUAGAAUGAGAAUCACCGUGAGGUCUUUCUGUGAUGGGGUUAUUGCAGGGCUCCAGGGAGUACUAGCUGUUGCCACAGAAUCGCUAAAGGGUGGGAGGCGAAGGGCCUUAGGCUCCGAAAGAAAAGAACCAGCGCCACCUGCAAGCUCAGCUCUUCCCGACAGGACAAGGUGGUGUUCCCUUGGAACAAUGUCUUCUCAAUAUGACCAAAUUCUAUACCGUACACAAAGGGCCCAUCGUACGCAGAAGGGUUUCUUCCAGCCUGGCAGACAUUGGGGUUUGACAUCGCCCGCCCUCUGCCUGACCCUUGUGUGUACUGGUCCGGGUUGGCUCGGAUCUGAGUUCCUUGCCGCUCCCACUAUUCCUGUCUCCUACAGAACCUCUUAUACUGUAUGAUGCGUCUCAGACAGGAGUGUCUGUGGGACUUGGGUUUUGCUGGAGGCAGAAGAGGUAGAAGGCUCCAGAGAAGCGCGGAGAGGCAAUCAGACUCUUAAUAAACCUCCGGGGUUUACUAAGCCAUCCUCAGGGACAACGGGCAGCUCUCCUUUUCUGCCUCUCCUCUUCCACCUUGCCCUAAAUUCGUGUCGGCACCCCCAUCCCCCUUUGGCUCACUCCUCUGCCUUGGUGACUAGUAGGUUUAUGAGUCCAACAGACUUAAGAGAACACUUGUGUUUUUUAAGGCAUGGCUGGCCGCUCCCUCCUGAGUCAUUGCCCUGCCCAACGGCCUUUGGUGAGUUGGGAGGAGAAGGGGAGACUAACAACACGAAGAAUCUUUAGCCUGGAGAGCUAUUUCCUCGUGGCAAAUCACGGUGCGGUGAUCAGUGUAUAAUAAGCUGGGACUUUUCCAAGGCGAGCCAGUUCGCAGCGUCAGCAUUGCCUGGGUCUGAGCAGGCACCAAGGAUGUACUGAGGCUCUGAGGUCGUGCACUUUUUUUUCUGAGGGCCCACGAUGGCUUUGCUGCGGCAGCCUGCUUGAUAAAGAAACAUCUUUCCCAAGUCAUGUUUCAUCCGGUUCAAUAGAUGCCCUUGGGCUUAACGGAUCCGAGUGCUUUCUUGGGCAAAUCAGUCCGCGUGGAGAGUGCUAAAUCAAACCGUGUUCACUUCUUUCACGGUUCACAGUCACCAAACUGUACAAGUGGGCCUGUGAGCAUGCUUACAGAUUAGAGGCUUCUCUCUAAAGGACCCCGUGAGAAGAGAAGUACAAUCCUUUGGCAAACUCCUUGCUUUCUGUCCUUUCAGAAAACGGAUCCAUUUGGGAGACAAGGCUCAUGUAUCCAAACACUGCGCCUCCAUCCUGCCAGCCGAGCGGACCUGUGGCUUUAUUCAUAAUGUAUUUACACAGCCCAGCAACCAUUGAAGAUGCCUGUUUAAUGAAAUGCUGGGCUUGUAUUCGAAUGGCACGAUUGGGAGUCAUUAUGAGUAAAUACGUGUACAGAUUUAUUUUCCUUCCCCCAGAGGUCCCUCAAAGGUCCCUGAAGGUAAAUAUUUGCACGGUGCCCAAUUUGUAUUUCCCCAGCCUAAUUUUGUUACUGAGGUAAGUAAGAGCCUAGCCUUCUUCCACCUAGCUUGUUAACAUGCACAGAGACACUUCCCUCUCUGCUGCCUGUGGCAUUCUAACUGCCGGGAGACAGCGCCCAGGCUGGGCCCGCAGCCACUUAACCAACUUAGUACAGCCGUGGGCUUGCUGGGUCCUGAGUGACUGUUCCUGCUUUGGAGUAGUGAGUGUGCAUCUGAUGAAAUAAUGCUUAUGUUCAGGAAGUGCAGUCCAGUGUGGAUCUACAUGGCUGUCCCAGCAUUGGGGAAUGCGGGGGUGGUGGACAUAAAUUCUCAAGAAUCCUGAGAAACUAAAAUCUCUAGAAUUCUCAGAGUACUUUUUAGGAAGUAGAGCAAAACUCCCGCUCCCAUCAUCUGGUUUUCCUUCAGAGUCUUAAUAAAUAUUCCAAAAUCAACCAGGGCUUGCUAAGUCCAGGGUUAAUUUUUUUUUUUUUUUUUUUUUAGUUAACAGUAAAAAGACAAGGAGUUGUAGAAUGCUAUUAAUAUAUACAUUUUCUUGAACUGCAAAUUAGGAGAUGAAACAAGGUUUACUUCAUAAAAGAUACAAUUCGUAAUUUUAGAACCCUCAGCCUAAACUGGGGUUAAGAAGCGGCCUUGAGAAUCUAUUUUAUGGUUCAGUAGUUGAGUGGGGCAGACACGUUAGAAAUUGGUGUGUGAAAAAAAUUUACGUUUUCAACUUGGACUCCAGUAUAAGGCGGGUAGUACUGUAGCCUACAAAAUGCUAUCAAAACGUGUCUGUAGAUUUGAACUCGGCACACAGAUACUAGGCUAGACCGUGGUUCCCUGUUUUGGGGAUCUGGAAAAGAUUAUGACAGUUUCGAAUGACAGUCGUAUAGGACGAGCAGCUAAGUUCCUGUGAGUGGGCCUGGCUACCGCAUGGGGCAAGAUCCAACUGCUGGUUUUCAGGCCAUUGUGGGAAACUCAGGACGGAAAGUCCCAGUGAACACUUUUUCUGCUCCUUGGGAAACUUACAGCCUCUGUAAGGGGGUCAUCCCCAAAUGGGAAGAGGGGAGUGCAGAAGGCCAGAGAAUUUUUUUUUUUUUUUGAGAAACUGGCAGUCCAGCAGACAUUCCGGCGCCAGCAGGACACUUCUGGAACUGAAGGUCUUUGUACCAGGAAUAAAACUGUACUUCUUCCUUGAAGGAAAGGGAGUCCUGCCUCUUGGAAGCCGUUGGUGGGACCCGGGUAUGGAGGCUUGGGGAAAGGGCCUGCGGACUAGAGAGUAGAGAGAGGAAACCUCUCCAGGGCAAAACAAGCUCAUAGGUUUUGGAAGCUGACAGUGAAAAAACCUCUUUACGGUGAUACUGACCGGACGCUUUAUUUAGAAACGCGCAGGAAGGGUUGCAUUCUUCUGCCUUAGGAUAGGCGAUGGAAUGAAAGCAUUCCCGGGAGGAAACCUGGAACAUCCCUAGAGUGCAGAAUUGGUGGGUUCACUUAGAUCCUACAGAGAAGAUCCGCAGCUGGCAUCUGGGCCACACAUUUUUACAUAAUGUCUGCACAGAUAUCCAUCCUUCAAACUCGCAAUGCAGUAGGCUUCCCAAGCAACUCCACGGAUUCUGUUUUCAGGGAUAUGGGAAAGAGAAGGAUUAUCUCAGAUGAGAGGUAUGGGCGGCUUUGAGGAAGGCAGGGAGCCAGGUUGCGUCGUCCGGCGUGGAGUGUGGCCAGCGGUGGGCAGCUGCGCAGCGAGGGCUCCGCAACGCUGUCAGGAGUGGGCGUCGCAGGGAGAGCCGCGCUCUAGGACAGCUGGCGCCUCCAUAGCAGCACUGAGAACGCUGACAGGUUCUGCAAAUAACAGCUGCGGAACAAUCUUUCUGUUUGGACAACGUGGGAAGGGCCAUUGUUCACAAAUUGGUCUCUUCAAUAACACCUGCGUGCACAGUUAAUAAUCUGUUGUCGGUCUCCCCCGGCUUUCAAAGACAAAAGACAGCAGCGGAGGGAGGAGCGAGAGGUGACUGGAGAGAGCAGAGCAACUUGGGAACCUGGCAGGGUGCAAGUGAGGACUCCGGGUCCUGUUCCUGGAUCCAUCUCUGUUGUUCGCGGCGGGUUCGCUUUCAUUCGCCUCUACCGCCUUUUAUCUUUGCAGGCCACCAACAUCGCAGCCGCAAGCGUCAUUUCCUAUGCAGUUGCUAAGCGCCCUUCCUUGCAAGUCAGCGGUCAAUACUGCUAAAGUGGCCCCGGGAUAGGAAAGGUCACACGUGUGUCGUAUGGUUGCUUCUGUCCAACUUGCGUUUGAGAGCUGCUUUCGUGGAGACCUUUGUUUGUAGAGGUGACCACAUGAAGAGGCAUAAGGCUUCUCCCACCAUGACGAUGGCAGGGCCGAACACACACCGAAGAGCACUGGAACAAGCCUCUGCAGGGCUCGGUAUCUUGCUGAGUUUUCCUCAGCCUCCUUACGUCACGGGUCGGCCACUUUCACUGUUGAAGAAUCCCCAGCAUGGCUUGUGUGUGGUCUCCUGACUCUGUCUCGGGAACUUUCAGGAGCUGACCUCCAGCUGGCCUCUGUAUUGAGCUUGGGAAGCCCUGGUUUUCACUUUUAUGCUGUUCUCUGUCUCAUGGGUCUAAAGCCGAGAGGCUCAGCUUCAUCUGCUCACAGCAUUCCAAGCUCAAUACCUCUCUCCUUCCCUUUUAUUUGCUGCCCACCUACCCACCUUACCCAGCAUUGGUAAGUCCCAGAACCUGCGCUGUGUUUCAGGGUGCCAACAAGGGUCCAAGCAAGCUCUUCUUGCCCAACACUCUUUCUCCCAAGUGUGUUGGGGAGCUCUUUCCUAGGGGACCUCUUAGUGCUAAUCCUCUGCAGCAGAUCCCAGCUACAAGCUUUGCCCCUCCCCCAUAGAAACCACCAUGAUUCUUCCUACACAGUCAGCAGGUGAGGAAACAUAGAGGGAGUCUGGAAGUCUGAAGUCU